UACCAGCUCUCCGAGUGGUGUGGAUGUUUAUUGGGCCUAAAGCAUCCGUAGCUGGCUGGACAAGUCCCCUGUUAAAUCCACCGAUUUAAUCGUUGGUGUGCGGGGGAUACUGUUCGGCUAGGGGACGGGAGAGGCCGACGGUAUUUCCGGGGUAGGGGUGAAAUCCUAUAAUCCCGGGAAGACCACCAGUGGCGAAGGCUGUCGGCUAUAACGCGCCCGACGGUGAGGGAUGAAAGCUGGGGGAGCGAACCGGAUUAGAUACCCGGGUAGUCCCAGCUGUAAACGAUGCAGGCUAGGUGUUUGGGCGGCCACGUGCCGCUCUAGUGCCGCAAGGAAGCUGUUAAGCCUGCCGCCUGGGGAGUACGGCCGCAAGGCUGAAACUUAAAGGAAUUGGCGGGGGAGCACCACAAGGGGUGAAGCUUGCGGUUU
rnacentral:rRNA from 1 species